UACGGGGGGGGCAAGCGUUGUUCGGAAUUACUGGGCGUAAAGGGCGCGUAGGCGGCCCGCUAAGUCGAACGUGAAAUCCCCGGGCUCAACCCGGGAACUGCGUCCGAUACUGGCAGGCUUGAAUCCGGGAGAGGGAUGCGGAAUUCCAGGUGUAGCGGUGAAAUGCGUAGAGAUCGGGAGGAACACCAGCGGCGAAGGCGGCGACCUGGACAGGUACUGACACUCAACUACGAAAGCGUGGGUAGCAAACAGG
rnacentral:rRNA from 1 species